UAUUUUUAUAAUAUUAUUCUUUCCGGUAAACUAAUUCGUGGAACUUAAACAUUCUAAACAACAUAUACAAAAGCAUUUCAGAUCAUUCCAAAUCUGUAAAUGGGAAGUACCUACUUAAUUGGUUUCACAGAGCGGUAGAGCAUGAGGCUGAGCAUCAACAACUAUUGGAAACAUUUGAAGAAUACUCAGCCAAUCUUGUUUGUCAUUUAACCAUGAGUAACGAUGUAACUACUGUUGGUGGGUUUUCUGCACAAAAGAAGAAUACAUACAAUGCGUUUGGAACUUAUUCACGAAGUCGACAAUCUCGAAUGUCGAUGAGGACGGGCUAUCGACGAUCAAUUGAAGAAUGAAAAUAAAUCUAUUAACGCAAAUUCAAAAACAUUAUUGUAAAAAUUUAAAAAAAAAUAGGUACUACUAAUAUAGAACUUUUCCGUCGUAAAUCAUUGAUGAUAUCACUUUUACCGUGUGCCCUGGAAAUCGUCUUCAUAUAACCUAUUGUAAUGAAAUUAUUUUUCAUACAAGAGAAGUCAUAUACCUACCUUGGUCUACCAUUUGACAAAACUCACUUAGGGCCCUUGCUUCAAAAACAAACACAAAGAUUUGAACAGCUAAAUGAAUUACAAAUCACAAAUGAACAAUAAUAAUUUUGUACAAAAGUCUACUGUAACUUAUCUAGUGGUAUCUUACUUUGGAGCUUAAUCAAACUAGUAAGCACCAGAACCAUUCAAGCUUUCCAAGCUAUCCGCCUACGAAUGCCAAUGCCUUUGAUACGUUCCAAUAUCACACUGCACAACGAUCUACAUAACCCUACCACGAGACAAACAACUGCUACAUACUCACGCCUUCUCUAUCAAACAGAAUAUCAUAUGCCAAUAGCCUUAAUGCUCAGCUGCGUUCCAACUGUCAACUGGAAAAUCCAGUCAAACGCCUUAAACGUGAAUGAACCAGAAGGACUACAGAUUUUCUAAAUGCAUAACACGUAUUUCCCUUACACACGAUUUAAUUUAUUCAUGUUAAACUGCUUCUAAUGUUAAAUUCCUUAAUGUUUUUUCCCUCACAUUUAUAUUAUAUAGCUUACUUAUAAGUUUACUUAUUGUAAAUUAAUUUAAAUAAAAACAAAGUAGGUAUUAUAUUAUAGGAAAAAAAAGAUUAUUUUUAUAGAGUACCUAUUUUUCCUAUUUUUUUUCCUAUUGUUAUUUUAUUACUUAAAUUUGUAAGUUCACGA